rnacentral:rRNA from 1 species
GAUGAACGCUGGCGGCGUGCCUAAUACAUGCAAGUCGAGCGAACGGACGAGAAGCUUGCCUCUCUGAUGUUAGCGGCGGACGGGUGAGUAACACGUGGAUACCCUACCUAUAAGACUGGGAUAACUUCGGGAAACCGGAGCUAAUACCGGAUAAUAUUUUGAACCGCAUGGUUCAAAAGUGAAAGACGGUCUUGCUGUCACUUAUAGAUGGAUCCGCGCUGCAUUAGCUAGUUGGUAAGGUAACGGCUUACCAAGGCAACGAUGCAUAGCCGACCUGAGAGGGUGAUCGGCCACACUGGAACUGAGACACGGUCCAGACUCCUACGGGAGGCAGCAGUAGGGAAUCUUCCGCAAUGGGCGAAAGCCUGACGGAGCAACGCCGCGUGAGUGAUGAAGGUCUUCGGAUCGUAAAACUCUGUUAUUAGGGAAGAACAUAUGUGUAAGUAACUGUGCACAUCUUGACGGUACCGAAUCAGAAAGCCACGGCUAACUACGUG